rnacentral:lncRNA from 1 species
CAUUAUCCCCUAACCCAAUAGAUGUAAUCAAUUCCAAUGAAUCUUCCAGUCCAUUUUCUUCAUAAACACCUAAAAUCCUCUCAUCAUCUUGCAAUGUACCUAACUUGCAUAAUUUUCCUUCAAUAUUAUAUAAUCUUUUUCUUUCUUUUCUUUUAAAAUCAUCAACUUUCUUAUACAUAAUAUUUCCAUUCUCCAAUAUACCAAUAAAACU